GGGAACCCAACAUCUUUAAUAGGAUGUUACGAUUGUGUGAAUACAUAGCACAUUCGAGGUAGACGCAGAGAACUGAAACAUCUAAGUACCUGCAGGAAGAGAAAGAAAAUUCGAUUCCCUGAGUAGCGGCGAGCGAAACGGGAAAAGCCCAAACCAGCAAGCUUGCUUGUUGGGGUUGUAGGACUCCAAUAUGGUAGUUCUUUCAGAUAGUCGAAUGACUUGGAAAAGUCAGUCAAAGAGGGUAAAAACCCCGUAGACGAAAUGUGGAAGACACCUAGGAGGAUCCUGAGUACGGCGGAACACGAGAAAUUCCGUCGGAAUCCGGGAGGACCAUCUCCCAAGGCUAAAUACUCCCUAGUGACCGAUAGUGAACCAGUACCGUGAGGGAAAGGUGAAAAGCACCCCGGAAGGGGAGUGAAAUAGAACCUGAAACCGUGUGCCUACAACAAGUCAAAGCCCGUUAAUGGGUGAUGGCGUGCCUUUUGUAGAAUGAACCGGCGAGUUACGAUUGCAUGCGAGGUUAAGUUGAAGAGACGGAGCCGCAGCGAAAGCGAGUCUGAAUAGGGCGUUUGAGUAUGUAGUCGUAGACCCGAAACCAUGUGAUCUACCCAUGUCCAGGUUGAAGGUGCGGUAAAACGCACUGGAGGACCGAACCCACGUACGUUGAAAAGUGCGGGGAUGAGGUGUGGGUAGCGGAGAAAUUCCAAACGAACUUGGAGAUAGCUGGUUCUCUCCGAAAUAGCUUUAGGGCUAGCCUCGGAAUUGAGAAUGAUGGAGGUAGAGCACUGUUUGGACUAGGGGCCCAUCUCGGGUUACCGAAUUCAGAUAAACUCCGAAUGCCAUUCAUUCAUAUCCGGGAGUCAGACUGUGAGUGAUAAGAUCCAUAGUCGAAAGGGAAACAGCCCAGACCACCAGCUAAGGUCCCAAAAUAUAUGUUAAGUGGAAAAGGAUGUGGGGUUGCACAGACAACUAGG
rnacentral:rRNA from 1 species